rnacentral:sRNA from 1 species
CCAAGGCCCGGGGUUGUGGGUCUCUAUGAGACAAAGUUAUUCAGCAGUUUGACAGACGGCAAAAAUCUGCCUCUGACUUUCCUCCAUAACUUCCAUGUAUGUAGAAAGGAGCCUGAUCACUGGACCUGGACUUCAAGGAGCCAGAGCUGAGGGUAAAGAUGGGGAAGCAUGAGAACCAGUGCCAAGCAGGAAGAGUAAGCUGAAACACCCUAAGGAAUGAGUCUCUUGAGUCCCCCUGGACUCAAGCCUGAAAUGCUGACACUGCUCCUUCAGCUCUCCUAGAGAAUGGAAGUCGUGUCGCUGGACUGAAGAUGAUUCAAGGCUGGAGACGCCCGUACCACGUGGACCUGAAAGCCAGUCUUUGAGAACACAAAAGCAUGUGUGCAGAGAAAAGCAAUCCAGAGAACACAGGGACCUUCGGAGUUUAAAAAAGAAUAACUUCCAUUUCAGAGGCCUGGGCUUCAUGAGGACAGAUCUUCUGUGAACUUCCUCUGUGCUUUUCCCAGAUUUCCUUCCUUGGCUUCAACUGUCCUCUUUCAUUGCUGGCCACUACAGUCCCCAAACAAAGACAGACUGUGGUCCAGGAGGUGAGUCAGAACCGGGUCAAAAACCAACUCCACACGGAAGCAAAGCAAGCUUAUAUUUUACAGCGCUAACAGAUAACAACUGGUCCGCUGUUAAUAAUUAUACCAACACUGAAGGAAAACACGGAUGUAUGGCCAUCCUUGCCAGGCGGGGAAACAGGGAAAUCAGAUAGAACUGCUUGUCUUUCCCAAACGUGCCUGGCAACCUGGAUCCCCGCUGCUUUAUCCGACUAUCUCGAUAACCUUCUCCAGACUCCUUUUCGACGAGAAACAGGACAGCAGGUCUCUCCAACCACAGAGUCUGUUCUUGUCGCCAGUCACUCUUCUUUCCUAACAGAUGGGCCUGGAGCUUGAGCUGAGGGGAGUGAUCGUUGAGAAGAGAAUCCUGCAAUCCGUACUCAUGCCUCAGAAAGCCCACGCAUCCCUAUUGAACGGGGCAAUGGUCCUCUGCGGUUCUCUGUUGCCUGAAAUGCCUUUCAGCUGGAAAAAAAAGCGCAAAGCAACAAAAGCCAUUUUGAAAUAAUUUAGGAGAAGUCCCAUUUUCACCUGAGUUAUUUUGAGCAGCGCAGGACACAAAAGAUCAGGGGGUCAGAAGUUUUCAGGUAAUUGCUUGUUUUCCUGCUCUAGCUGAUUGAAAACUCUCAAGCUUUCUUUUUCCAAACUUGAAUUGUCCUCGCAGUGCCAAGUACCCACCAUUUCGAGGUAAGAGCUGUGUGGCGCAAGAAAAGACUGAAUGGAGAAGAAAACUUGAUAUUUUGCUAAAGAGGAAGGUGGAAACGUAUCUCCAUCAAGGUUUGAUGUGAUCCCAGGUUUCUGUCUACAAAAGAGUCAAAUACAACGCGGAGUAAUUAAUUCCAAGUUCUGUAUCCAUUCUCUUCUCAGACUCUUCAGGGCCGAGAACCAGAAAAGUCAUAAUCAUACAAUACUGGGUGUCCAGGGCCCCUGAGAUUUGCUACCAUUGUGGGGAGUGUGCCAGCUACAGGGAUUGGUUACUAACUACCGUCUAUCCUUAGUAAGUGGAAGACCUCCAGAGUGGUAAAUACAGUUUAAUUCAAGGGGACAGGACCCAGACAGGCUGCGAGCUUGCCUACCCUGAUGGUCUAGCUUGAGGAGAGGUUUCAACUUUGAGCCUGAAGUCAGGCCUUGGAGAAAUUCCAGUCCAUGCUGCUCCUCCUGAUGGUGGUGUUAGGUCCACUGAUGGAAUCUACCUGGGAAGAGUCAGCCCCACACAGGCAUUUCCAAUAUAAUUUCUGACCUUGUGAGAAGGGGGAACAGAGAGGGAAGAAUUUGGAAAGAAGUUUCUGAACAAAGGGGAGUUGGAUUUGGCUGGAAUACCUGUUAGAGCUGAUUGGUAUUGUGCAUCCCAAGCCCUGAACUCAGCUCAGGUCGCAGGAGAAACCCACACUGGUCUCUCAGUGGUUAUCUGGAGGCUAGGAGAGCAUGACUGACAAGUAUGUGUUCAUGUCGGGGAAGGUUGUCUGCAUGAACGCAGUACUUGAAGCAGCUGGAAUAAAACAUUGGAACCCUGAGCUAGGGAACUUUGGCCUUGUGUCCUCCCGCCUUCCCUGGUCCUGGCUGCCUGCACAAGCAGAUUUCUACUCUCAGGCUCAUACUUCAUCCGCCUUGCAUUUCGUGCAAGCCCCACCCAAAGAAGCUGGGAAACCUGAAAUCACAUCUUCUUUGCUCUCCUUCUGUGCGGAGAGUUCUGUCAGCCUCUAGGACCUCAGCUUUUCAUUCUUCCACUCCAUGAUGAGCUUGUUGGCCAGGCCUUGUCUCUAGAGCCCGUGAAUAUUUUACUUCCCGUGGCAGAAGGAUUUUACAAAUGCAGUUAGGUAAAAUAUUAUUGAGAUGAGAAAUUAUCCUGGCGCACUCGGGUGGGCACGGCGAGACCACAGAAACUUCCGGGAGAGCUAAGGGAUGACAAGUGAGUGAGAAAGAGCUGCCCCUGGACACAGAUUGUGAGAUCAAAGUUAUCUGAGAAGAUAUAGAAAGGACACAUGAUGAUAGAUUUCUAGAAGGUAGAAGAGACAAGGGAAUGGGUUCUCUCCAGGAAUAAGGGUGGCCAUAAGCCUAAACCUUGAUUCAUUUUAGCUCUGCAAAACCAUUGUCUAACUUCUCGCUGGCAGAGCCCUAGGAUAACCAGUUGAUACUGUUGCGAGUUCCUGGGUGUGUGGCCUUUUGUUAUUUUGUUGCUGCUGCUUGGGAAUCUAAUUCAGUGUCUCCCUCUCUGCCUAUGAACCUCAGAGGUUAAUCAGAACUCUCAACGGCUCUGCUGUUGGUCAGUGCCUGGAGGAGGUGCCAGCUCUAAAUUCUUUGUUGCAUUUAGGCCUGAACGUGGAGGCUCAUCUGGAGUCCAUGGUAGACCCAUUUCCUCUGGAGCUUGGAGGGCCUUGACACAGACUUACAGGCCACACCUGCCUCUGAGCUUGUGUGUCACUGCAGGUGAACUUAGGCUUCGAGUUCAUAUCCUCCUGCAAUACCAGCAGAAUGCUUUCCCAGCACAUGCUGUGCACCAGGGCUUCUGUUCCACAGAGAAGCUAAGACAGUUUCUUGGUGCCAAAGUAAGGGGNUUUUUAAAUUAUCAUUAGUGCUAUUUACCAUGAACUUGGUGGGUGAGGGGAUUUUUGUCCUUUAUGUAGAUUGUCUCUGAAUCCUUGAAAAAUUUAUCCCCGGGGACUGAGGUCUUUGUUUCUUCCCAUUCUAAUGAUCUUGCACCUUUUAUUCUCUAUAAAUAGUUAUAGGGAAAGUUUUUCGCCGAUGAAACCCACCUACAACCUUAGAUCAGGCUCUUGCAGAAGCUGAAAUAAGGAAGGCUUAAGCGUCCUCAGUGUGACAUUGUGCAUCGUGGUAAAAGUGUACAGUCUGAACAAAGAGCCGGCUUCUUUUUACCUUGACGGUUUUAAAACCUCUUUGGGGGUUUCUAACAUGUGGGAAAGUUUCAAAGCAAUCAUCCCAAAACAUCUCUAUGAAUCACCACUCAAUUUCUGUUACACUAAAAAGGAAGUGAAAGUAUGAAAGGACACAUAAUUUAUUCAAUGUCAUACAAUGAGGGAAGGGCAGAGAGGGGAUCGGGUGCAAAGACAGAACCCACAGCAUAGCCUCUCCGUUGCCUUGGUUAGAGGUGAAUUCUAAAAUCACUGCAGAAUUGCUAUCCAACCUUCUAGCUGAGUAGGUGAAUUAAGGAAUAAAUGUAGAUAAGCUAUUUUGUAGAUAAGCUAAAUUAAAUUAAUCAAACUAAAAUGUUGACUAGUGUCAUUACUAAUUUUAAUUUGCACUGUGCUUUUGACAUACUGUCUGGUGUUCCUUUGUGAAUCCUGCCCCACCCCACACACCCAACACUUACCUUCUUACAUCUUUAAAGUCUGUAGUUAAAAUGCUAAAAGAAGAAAUAGUAGCAUUCUUCACUCUCCAUCAUUGUUUGAGCACUGCUUCUUUGCCCUAGAAUUCUUAGGCAUUUAACUUGCAAAAUUCAUGGCUGUAUUUUGAACAGCUGUGUGUUUUUUUAUAUUAAGAAAUUCAUCUUUAGGUAGCCCAGAGCUAAGUCAAUCUGAAAUGAUCAAAAUAAAUUUGAUUUGCCUCCACUUUUAAAAGAACUGCUUUGUUCGAGGAAUGGCUCUCUUUCACCAUUUAAAAUAAAUAUCCUUCCUCCUCAGAAUCUUUGAAAAGCUCAGUGGCAUUAUUUAUGUGGUCAUAUAGGGACUCCAGAGAGCAGACCUGCUAGUCCUUAUAGAAUCUGCAUCUUCCUUUACUGGCAGUGGAACCAACAAGGACAAAAGUAAUGGACUGAGUUGAGUUGCACCCCCUCUCCUCAAGCUAGACUCGGUCACCUGCUCCCAAUAUGCCAACUGGAUAAUGGUGACAGACAGAAGAGAGCGAUUCAAGAGCACAUCAGGAACAGGAUUAAUUAAAAGGGUCCACUGACCCUUCCAAGUUCAUCUCUAUGGUCGCAGCCUUGUCCUGUGGAUUGUGCCCUCACCUGGGGACAGUCAGGGGAGAGUCUAUCCUAUGAGUUCUGCUGUUUCUGAAGUCCAACACGACUGCAGAUUUAUUCAGUGAGUUAUCCCUGUACCUUCAGCCUUGGGGAGGGAUGAGAGAUGCCGAGACUGACGGUCCAUGAAUGGCGAAUAGGCCGUGAGUAGGUAACCCAUAGUUAAGGAGUCAGACACAGAACAAAAACAGGGAUGGUAGGCAUUUGUCCUGUGAUUAGUUAUCUUCUAAACACUCGUUUCAACAAUGGGGAAGUCCUCAGGUAUUAAUGGCAGUCAAGGCAGCAGUCACCUGAAGCCUAUUAUUCCACUAGAGGCGUACGACUCAGUGGCAGCCCAUCGUGGAGCUGCUAAAUGAAUGCUACAUGCAUCUAUGUUAUUCAUGUCUUUGUAUAUGCAGAGAAGAAUGGAAAACUAUAUACAUGCUUAUACUUUGCCUCCGUUUUUUCCCUGCCUGAGUGGCUUCUCUGGAUACAAGUCCACAGUAGGACGCAUGGUUCUCUUUGGAGAAAACAAGCAUGGUGUCUGAAAACUGUCAGGUGUACACCUCGUGCCAACCGACGCAGAACAGGAAGCCCUGUUGCCCUUACAGCUGUGUGCAUCGUUCUCGGGGAAUGGCGGGGCUAAAGAAAACUCAAGCAGCUCUCGGAAGUCUGUCAGGAAAGAUGGAAGACUUUUGAAACAUGUGCUCGCUCACCGUGAGGCAGCUCCUCAAACCACUCUGAAUCCGUUCUAACUUCCUUACAGUUGAAGCUGUCCUCAAGAGUUUAGUUACCACUGGUGAUCUCCCACAUCCCACACACAAAGACAUACUUGAAGGAAACGAAGACACUCCCUGCACUCCAUUUUAUGGGAGAGCGAGCUCUCAGUUAUGCUGGCUGGAAAACACACAUUUCCUGCUUGCAAUGGGUUGGAUUCCCAUGGCCUCGGGCAGGCAGAAAUCUUGAUGUAACCACUGCACCCUGGGAAGAAAGGCUCCCCAACCCCCACACACCUAAUUCUAAUUCUUUUCUAAUUCGGUCUGGAAUCUUCAAAGGGAAGUUAAAACUGAUCCAUACAGGGAAAUAUUGUGCAUUUAAGACAGGAAAGAACUCCGUUGUCAAUACAGAGCAGGCUGUUCAUUUUGCUAAAAAUAUGUAAGAGCUAAUUUGCCAGUAAAUCUGCGCUGGACUUUGCUUUAUCCUGAGACAUUUUUAUAUAGCACUGCCCUCAGUUGUUCCUUCCAUUCGUUUGUCAGGUUGAGCAUUUUUUUGGGAGAGCUUGUGGUCUUAAGGAAAUAAACUGUUUUUCUCUCCCUUUUUAAAAGCCACUUCAUGGAAGGCGAGACUUCAUUUCCUGAAAAUGAGUGUAGAAUAUCCCACUUAAUUACUUUUCCAGACUCUCAUCUUCCCAUGAAUCACGGUGUUCCAUAACUAAAACAUGUCUGAGUAGGCAGCAAGAGGAAAAGGAUUGAGGGAUGCAUGACCCUUUCUGAAGUUAUGGGAAGAAGACCUUGAACCACUACCCUCAGCCAAUAGCAUUGACACUUUAAACUAGCCAUGGCUCAGAAACAACCCAGGACCCAGCACUCUGCACUUAGCAUCUGUAUCAUACGGAUCCAGAAAAGCCUUUGAAACCAUAAACAUGGAAACUUAAUAACAUAAAUACCAAUCGAGCAACUUGACCAUUCUAGCAAUGCCCUAUAUGUCAUGGAGUUUGAGUUCCAGAGGCAAUGCAGCAUAUAAUCGAUCGUGUAACAAUCCUUCAUCAGGCCAUAUGUAUCAAUAAAGUCAUUGUUUCAUUUUAA